rnacentral:rRNA from 1 species
UACGGAGGGUGCGAGCGUUUGUUCGGAAUUACUGGGCGUAAAGCGCGUGCAGGCGGCCGACUAAGUCAGGUGUGAAAGCCCGGGGGCUCACCUCCGGAAGUGCGCUUGAAACUGGUCGGCUAGAGUACGGGAGAGGGAAGCGGAAUUCCUGGUGUAGCGGUGAAAUGCGUAGAUAUCAGGAGGAACACCGGCGGCGAAGGCGGCUUCCUGGACCGAUACUGACGCUGAGACGCGAAAGCGUGGGGAGCAAACAGG